AGCGACUAGAAGGAAGAUAAUAUUGAUUUACCUGUCUUUAGCAUAACUUGUUGAAUCAGUAGAAAGCGAGAGAUCAUCGUCAAGGUUUUAUGUUUAUUUACCACAAAAGACAUGCCUAGCUGAAAAUAUUAGCAUGCAUAUUUAGUAAACAUGUUAAAUUUGGUAAUGUUUGAUAUUUAUAAAAACUAGCUACAGAAAUUUGACAAAAAUGAACAGACAAUCGAUAUAUUACUUUCUGCUAAAACUUAUUUUUGAUGGCCAAAAAAAUAAAGCAUUGCGUUAUUUUUCUGUUUCCAUUCCUUGCAAUGCCCUUUGCCAGUAUUUUGCGAAGGAGAAACCCAAAAAGUCACUGACCUUGCAUAAGUUGAACACAUCGUAGAGAGAGUAUGAAAAAUAAAAGGCAAAAAAAUACGAGCAACAUAUUGCAAAGACCCAAAAGCUAUGAACUAAGCAGUUUAGUAACGCAAUUCAAUAAAGCAAUAGCGGAGCAAACAAUCAAACAGGGGGCCUCGGGUGAACAUGAAGAGACUUCAAUAAAAAAGAUCAUUAAAAUUGGUUUUAUAUUUAAUUCUUGUCUUGUUUUUCUCCUUUAAUCUUUCCUUCCAUCCGUUUACGGGCAGCCAAAAUCAUCUCUUCCUUUCGCUUGCGAAACAACUCUUCACGCUCUUUUUUGGAAGAUGGAAGCUUUGAACGAUUACGAACCUCUUCAUUGCCGGUGGACGAGGAUGAAUUGUCAGACGAAGAAAUCCUGGACGACAAGUUAUAAGUUUCAAUGAGGCUCCUGUGCUCGUUGCUUGCCAACGAAGAAGCGCUUGACCCAGAAGACACGUUGGAUGUCACUUCGUGCGAAGGAGUUGUUUCUUCUGAAUGAGAGGAAGCGCCUGCUCCAGCCGACAGUGGAAAGCGAGCGUACAAGGAGGAAUUACGGGGCGGCAGCGGUAGAGGUUGACCUCGCAAUGCAUUCUCGAUGGUUGCAUCGACAUUUUUUGUUUUUUGGAGGUCAUAGGCAAUAGCUGAUGAUUCUAAAUGUGGAAAAACGGUUUUGACGAGGUGAACAUGCUCGCUGUUCACAGGUGGUUCAUUAUCGACACCCGAAGACGAAGUUCUCGAUUCUGAAACUUCACCACCUUUAUCAACACGAAACAUCCAUCUUAAAGUAAGCACUGUAACUGUUAAAACGACAGCACACCCUGCUAAUUGCUCUGGUUGCAUAACUUUGGAUGUAUUAACAAAUAAUUCACAAAACGA